rnacentral:RNase_P_RNA from 2 species
AAUAACGUUCGGGUAAUCGCUGCAGCCUGAAAACGGCUGUUGAGGAAAGUCCAUGCUCGCACGGUGCUGAGAUGCCCGUAGUGUUUGUGCCUGGCGAAUUCAUAAGCCAGGGCAGCCUUGAUUCAAGGCUGACGGCAGGGAAAACGCCUAAACCUUUAACGGCAUGGCGGAGUACCCUUGAAAGUGCCACAGUGACGAAGCUUUACGGGAAACCGUAAAGGUGGAACGAGGUAAACCCCGCAAGUGAGCAACUCAAAUCAUGGUAGAGGCACUCUUUCUGAGGAAAUGAACGAGGAAAGAGACAAGCGUAUUGCUUGUAGAUAGAUGAUUACCGCCUUCGUACGAGAUGACGCCACAUCGUUUGCAGUACAAAGGCACAGAACAUGGCUUACAGAACGUUAUUCUGG